rnacentral:rRNA from 1 species
UUCCGGUUGAUCCCGCCGGAGGCCAUUGCUAUCGGAGUCCGAUUUAGCCAUGCUAGUCGAGCGAGGUUAGCCCUCGCGGCGAACAGCUCAGUAACACGUGGCCAAGCUACCCUGCAGAGGGGGACAGCGUCGGGAAACUGACGGGAAUCCCCCAUACCGGUCUCACGCUGGAAUGCCGAGACCGACAAACGCUCCGGCGCUGCAGGAUGCGGCUGCGGCCGAUUAGGUAGUCGGUGGGGUAACGGCCCACCGAGCCGAUAAUUGGUACGGGGUGUGAGAGCACGAGCCCGGAGACGGAAUCUGAGACAAGAUUCCGGGCCCUACGGGGCGCAGCAGGCGCGAAACCUUUACACUGCACGAACGUGCGAUAAGGGGACUCCGAGUGCGAGGGCAUACAGUCCUCGCUAUUGUGUACCGUAGGGUGGUACACGACCAAGAGCUGGGCAAGACCGGUGCCAGCCGCCGCGGUAAUACCGGCAGCUCGAGUGAUGGCCGAUUUUAUUGGGCCUAAAGCGUCCGUAGCUGGCCCUGCAAGUCCGUCGGGAAAUCCACUCGCCUAACGAGUGGGCGUCCGGCGGAAACUACAGGGCUUGGGACCGGAAGACUUGAGGGGUACGUCUGGGGUAGGAGUGAAAUCCUGUAAUCCUGGACGGACCGCCGAUAGCGAAAGCACCUCAAGACGACGGAUCCGACAGUGAGGGACGAAAGCUAGGGUCUCGAACCGGAUUAGAUACCCGGGUAGUCCUAGCUGUAAACGAUGUUCGCUAGAUGUGGCAC